CUUUAAACCACGAGACCUGGUCCUACCUCACCAGAUUAUGUUUAAUCUUGGAAGCUAAGCAAGGUCAACCCUAGUAAGUAUUUGGAUGGGAGACCACUAACAAAUACCAUCUGCUUUAAAGG
rnacentral:rRNA from 11 species